GCUCCCUUUGACAGCACAUAUACUAGAAUUGGAACAACACAGAGGUCAGCAUGGCCCCGGAGCAAGGACGACACACAAAUUCACGAAGUGUUCCAUGCUUGA
ensembl:snRNA U6 U6 spliceosomal RNA